UUAGAAUAUCCAACAUAUAUAAUGUGUGAUAAUUGUUUCAGUUUGACUACCUUAAGAGUUUGGAGAUAGAAGAGAAAAUCAACAAAAUCAGAUGGUGCCAAAUAGCUAAUGGUGCCCUUUUCCUUCUCUCGACAAAUGAUAAAACCAUCAAAUUUUGGAAGGUUCAAGAAAAUAAGGUCAAGAAAAUUGUUGAGAUGAAUGUUGACCCUUCUUUGAAAACAAUGGGAAAUGGCAGUAUUGCUAGUUCAAGUAAUUUAAGUAAUCCUAAGCCAAGCCUUGAAAAUGGAGGAUAUCCUGAUUCAGAUAGAUCAUUCAACUAUCUUAGCUCUGACUUCUCAUUUCCACCCGGAGGCAUACCGUCACUAAGAUUACCCGUGGUAGUAAGUAGUCAUGAAACAAGCUUGGUGGCUCGAUGUCGUAGAGUUUAUGCCCACGCACAUGAUUAUCAUAUCAAUUCUAUUUCAAAUAACAGGUAUUUAGCUUUCUUAGUCCACAUGGUAUUUUGCUAUUGUCUAGUAAGUUUUAGUUGAAAUUGAAUACGCCGAGGAUUCAUAUUCUAAUUUUAAGGCUAUUUAAGGUGAAUCUUGCUUUGGUAAUUUUAUUU